AUUUUCUCUUUGUGGAGGCUGGGUUCGCGUGCUCUUCUGAGCUGUGGUCGUCAUGGACCGGAAGCGUGUGCGGCGCGCCUGCCUUGAGGCCAGCAUCAGGGAAGGGUGUCCCAGGUGCAGGCGAAGCUUCCUUCAGGUGCUCCUGGAGGACUUUUGGCUCGCAAGCGCUUCUCCAUUCUCCCAACGUCUCGGGCCUGAUGUUAUCAUCUCCCUAUCCUUGGCUGCACCUGAAAAGAGCAGGAGCCGGCAGGUAACCCGAUCGCCUCCCCCAGGUGAGUCUCCGAUGGAGGUGUCAACUACAAGACCAGGAGCAGAGCAGUCCUGGGGCUUUGCUGGAACCAUUGGCGUGGGAAUGCUGUCUCUUCCCUCGCCCGAGAGACGCCAGAUUCCCAGCGGGCAGCGGACUCGGUUCUAACCUUCCUCGCCCCAGCCUCUAGGAGCGCUCUGCACGCAGUGGGCGUCUAAUAAAUGCAGUCGGCCCUGCUUGGACAAAAGCUCUCCUUAAGUGGACCGGACACUAUGCCCCUCCAGGUGCCAGAGUUGUCGCCCCCGCUGCCACUUUGCUCCCUGCGCGCGUUCCGCGUGAGACCCUCGGCGGCACCUCACCCACUCCCUGACGGCCGGUGCCAGCCCGGGGCACCCUGGGUACUCUGCGCGCGCCCGCUGGCCCCGCCCGGCCCCAACGGCCCCAACUCCCGUCUCCUCCCAGUCCCCCGGAGCCGACCAGUGGUGGCGGCAGCCCCAGGUCCCGGGUCCCUCAGACAAAAAGGCGGGUGGAGGAGGAGUAGCCGAGCCCAGAGUCCUGCUCCGGCGCCGCCGAGCACCGCCCGCCUCAGCCGACCAGCCCCGUCGGCUACUGGGCCUAGCCUAGAGGAGAGGAGGGAAAGGCCGCGGAGGCCGCGAGGAGACGGCUGGGGCGCCAGCGGCCGGCUGCCGCCUAGUUGUGCUGCCCGGACCAAGGAAGGAGAAGUGGGAGGAGCGGGGAGCUCAGCGGCUCAGGACGACGACGCUCGCCACAUCCGGGACCCUCCGGCCGUGGCGGUCGCAGCGCCGGCAGCUCGGGCCUCAGCCCCUGCCUCUGUGGUGACUCCGCCGCGCUUCGACGUCGCCCCUGUCCCCGUCCCGCCCGCCGCCCCCGCCAACCCCGCCGCCGGGGACAUGUCCAACCCCUGAAGCCGGAGGAACGGGCCAGUCAGACUGCGCCCGACAGGAGGUGAAGUGAAAUCUGCAAGAGUCCUGCUCGUUCAAGGCCUGCAUACAGGAAAGAAGCAGGGGAAAAGCGUUAGAAACAGCUUUUGUUCUACAGCAUUUUAAAAUAUAAUAGGUAUAUUGAAAAGUCUGAUUCAGUUACAAUCAGUGUAUGGAAUCACAAGAAGAUCCAUAAGAAACAAGGUGCUGGAUUUCUCCGUUGUGUUCGUCUUUUUCCAGUGCCAUCAACCACCUCAAAGACACUGGUUAUCAGAGGUUGGAUUUAUGCAAACUUGGGCCAAAGGACAGUUAGAAGACAGUAGCUGAAGAAGCAUCUGUAGGGAAUCCAGAAGGAGCAUUCAUGAAGAUGUUACAAGCCCGGAAGCAGCACAUGAGCACUGAGCUGACUAUUGAGUCGGAGGCGCCCUCAGACAGCAGUGGCAUCAACUUGUCAGGCUUUGGGAGUGAGCAGCUAGACACCAAUGACGAGAGUGAUGUUAGCAGCGCACUAAGUUACAUCUUGCCUUAUCUCUCACUGAGAAAUCUAGGUGCAGAAUCAAUAUUGUUACCGUUCACUGAACAGCUAUUUUCAAAUGUACAAGAUGGAGAUAGGCUCCUGAGUAUUUUGAAAAACAAUAGAAAGAGCCCCUCACAGUCCAGCCUUCUAGGGCAAAGAUUCAAAGUGUAGGCAAAAACCUGCAGAGAGUGAACAGAGUCCUCAUGGGCCCAAGGAGCAUCCAGGAAAGGCACUUCAAAAAGGUGGGAAAGCACAGCACUAGGAAAGAACAGGAUGCCCAGGCAUUUGUGGACAAUGCUGCCAAAGGAAAAAGGCUUGAGGGUCCAGCCCCAAGGGAGCUGGAACAGCCUCACAUAGUGCAGGGGCCUGAGAAGGUAGUGGGAAACACCAUCUACACCAAGCCUUCAUUCACCCAAGAGCAUAAGGCAGCAGUCUCCUCUGUGCUGAAACCCUUCUCCAUGGGCGUGCCUUCUGCCUCUAGCCCUGCAAAAGCCCUACCUCAGGUCAGAGACAGAUCGAAAGACUUAGCCUACACCAUUUUAAUUUUAGAAAUGGCAAUGGCUAGAGUGAAAAACAUGAAGGCUGCUAAACCAAUCACACAUUCCAGAAAAAAAUAGCGCUUUUAUAAAACUCACUCCAUUGUGGCCCACAGAACACCCAAGGCCAAAAAGAUUAGAAAGUUUAGAAAGGGCAGUUAUCUCAACAGACCGAUGCUCGCAAAGAGGCCGCUGUUCUCUGCAGCAAAGAGCCUCAUACAUUCGCAAGGGAUUUUUUCAUCCUUAGGAGACCUGAGUCCUCAAGAAAACCCUCUUCUGGAAGUAGUUGCUCCUUCAGAACGUUUUACAGAAAACACUAAUGUAAAAGACACAACUAAUGUAAAAGACACAAAAGAGAUGUGUUCAAAGACACAUCUCUGAAAACACAAACUACAAUCAUCCUCCUGAGGCAGUUUCCGCUGGGACUGCAUUCAACUUAGAACCAACUGUUAAACAAACUGAGACAAAAUGGGAAUACAACAAUGUGGGCAUUGACUUGUCCCCUGAGCCCAAAAGCUUCAAUUACCCAUUGCUCUCGUCCCCAGGUGAUCAGCUUGAAAUUCAGCUAACCGAGCAGCUACGGUCCCUCAUCCCCAACGAGGAUGUGAGAAAGUUCAUGUCUCAUGUUAUCUGGACCUUGAAAAUGGAAUGUUCAGAAACACAUGUGCAAGGGAGCUGUGCCAAGCUCAUGUCGCGAACAGGCCUCCUGAUGAAGCUUCUCAGCGAGCAGCAGGAAGCAAAGGCAUUGAAUGUAGAAUGGGAUACGGACCAACAAAAAACAAAUUAUAUUAAUGAGAACAUGGAACAGAAUGAACAGAAAGAGCAGAAGUCAAGUGAGCUCAUGAAAGAAGUUCCAGGAUAUGACUAUAAGAACAAACUCAUCUUCGCAAUAUCUGUGACUGUCAUACUAAUAAUUUUGAUUAUAAUUUUUUGUUUUAUAGAGGUAAAGACAAUAAUUAAUUCAGGUUUUCAAAAUACAAUCCUGUGUUUGUGUGGAUUCAGAAUCCACAAACUGAAAACCAACGUCACUUUCCCACUUGACAUUCUUCUUCUGUCAUUUAAGGCUGAGGUGUGCUUUGUUCUUUUACUGCAAUGUAUAUUCCAGGAUUGUUAAAGGAUCCUCGCUUCCAGGAGGUCUCUGUGAAAUAAAACCAAGUUAAUCCCACUAGACUAUUUUAAGAAGUUAAGUUGAUAUAAUAGCAAAAUUUCUCCCACCCAAAACUAUGUCAACAAUUGGAUGUACUCACUGAGUCACCCCUUACUCUGCCACUAAUUUAUUUCCUUGUUGCUUAAAUGAUGAGAGACAUAUAAUCUCCACCCUCACGGAGUUGUCAUCACCCUGGAGAGGAAGAAGACAGCCAAAAGAGAGAAGUAUUGUCUUGUAGACUUACUAGAUUCACAUAGUAUCAUCCUUCUCCAGUGUGUAAGGUGUUGUCUAAAUAGGUCCAGUUAAAGAACUACAGGGUAGCCAUUUUUAAAAAAAAAUUUUGGCCACGUUUUCAAAUUCACAGGGGAGGGGGAAUGUCUCAUACUCCAGCCCUCCUGAGCCUAGGCCCUCUGUGAGAUGUGUCACCAUUUCUUGGACACCAUAUGAGACAUUCCCCCUCGGAUUAGAGAUGCUCAACCUGCAUCAACAAAUCUAAAGCCUGCAUCUGGCUACCCUGGGGCGAGUCCUGUUUACAGUGCCUAUUCCUGGAGCUCGCCUCUUUUUGCCUUUUGUUUGAUUAUGUGAUGUAUUACUUUUCCCAGCAGGCCAGUGCUAGCAUACUGGAAGAGGGAUUUAAUAAGCUGGCACCCUUGAUGCUAUGCUCCUAAUCCAACCUUAUUUGCCUCAUUGGCCAUUUCCAUUAUGGUGGCAGCCCUCCAUUCCAGCCACAGCAGCCCCUCAGCGUCCCCCAGUCACACUGUCCCCAUUGCUGCUCAUCUGUGCCUUUGUCCAUCUACAAUGCCCUUAUUUCACUCUGCCUGUGGGAGUCCUGUGAAUCUCUCCAAAGCCAACUCAGUUCAUCUUUCUGCUUGAAACCUUCCCUGAAUAGGCCAGGUGCGGUGGCUCACGCCUGUAAUCCCAGCACUUUGGGAGGCCAAGGCAGGCGGAUCACAAGGUCAGGAGAUCGAGACCAUCCUGGCUAACACAGACCAUUCUCUACUAAAAAUGCAAAAAAUUAGCUGGGUGUGGUGGCGGGCGUGUGUCGUCCCAGCUACUUGUGAGGCUGAAGCAGGAAAAUGGCAUGAACCUGGGAGGUGGAGCAUGCAGCCAGCCAAGAUCGGGCCGCUGCACUCCAGCCUGGGGGACAGAGCGAGACUCUGCCUCAAAAAAAAAAAAAAAAAGAAACUUCCCUGAAUAUUCCAGCCCUCCUGAGCCUAGUCCCUUUGUGAGAUUUGUCCCCAUUUCUUGGACACCAUAUAAGAGACUUCAGAGGCUGAAGUGGGAGGAUUGCUUGAGCCUGGGAGGUCGAGGAUGCAGUGAGCUGUGGUCAUACCACUGCACUCUAGCCUGGGCAACAGAGCGAGACCUUGUCUCAAAAACAGCCACCACCAAAAACUAUCUUGGGAUUUGAAUAGGAUUACCUUAAAUUUGUAGAUUAAUUUGAGAAUUGACAUCUGUACGACAUUCUAGAACAUGGUAUUUCAUGUCAUGUAUUCAUUUCUUGUUAAUGUCUUUCAGAAGAGUUUUAGGGUUUCCAUCAUAUAGAUCUUACACGUCUUUUGUUAGAUAACAGAUCUUUGUAUUUUUGUUCCUAAAUACUUCAGACAUUUGUAUUGCCAUUGUAAAUGGGAUCUUUCUUCCAUUUUCUAGUUAGUUAUUGGUGGUACAUCUGAAAAGCAUUUGAGGUUUGUGUGCUGCUCUCUUGAUUUUGUUUCUAGCCACCGUACUGAAUUCUCAUAUUACUUCCAGUAAAAUCUUAGUUGAUUCUCUUAGGCUUCUUUGGCUAACAUUUAUUAUUUUAUAUGCAAAUAAUUAUAGUUUUGUCUCUUCCUUUUCAAUACUUACACUCUUUCCUUCCUUUCCUUUCUUUUUUUUUUCUUUCUCAGGGCCUUGUUGUCACCCAGACUGGAGAGCAAUGGUGUGAUCUAGCUCACUGUAACCUCAAACUCCUGGGCUUAAGGGAUCCUCCUGCCUCAGCUUCCUGAGUGGCUGGGACUACAGGCAGGCAGUGAAUUUUAAAACUUUUGGUGUAGAGACAAGAUCUUGCUAUGUUGCCCAGGCUGGUUUUCCUGCCACUUUAGAGCAGGUUUCCUUUUUUUCAUACUUUUAAGAGGUUUUUAUUAGGAAUUGUCCAUUGAAUGUUAGCUAAAACAGUCAAUAAAAUGCGUUAAGUACCAGCUACAUGCAAGACCCUAAGUUAGAUACAGUCAGCCCUCUUCAUCAGCAGGUCCACAUCUUCAGAUUCAACUAGAUAAGGCUGAAUAUUUGAAGAAAAAAACAAUAAAAAUACAAUUAGAAAGUACAGUAUAACAACUGUUGCCAUGAUACAAUAUCUAUACAUUUUAUUAGUGAUGACCUAAAGUUCAUGGGACCAGGCACGGUGACUCACACUUGUAAUCCCAACACUUUGGGAGGCCAACCUGGGCAGCAUAGUGAGACCUUGUCUUUAAUAAAAAUAAAAAUAAAAAAAUUAGCUAGUGUGGUGGUAUGCACCUGUAGUCCCAGCUACUCAAGAGGCUGAGGUGGGCAGAUCACUGGAGCCCAGGAGGUUGCGGCUGCUGUGAGCUGUGAUUGUGACACUGCUCUCCAGCCUGAGUGACAGAGGGUGAUCCUGUCUCUAAGUAAGUAAAUAAAUAAAGUAUAUGGGGGGGAUGUGUGUUGGUUAUAUGCAAACACUGCACCAUUAUACGUAAGGGAUUGAGCAUCCACAGAUUCUGGUAUGGUGUGGAGGCGAUAUCCUAGAACCAGUCGUCUGCAAGGUAGCAAGGAUGACUGAACUGUGGAAGAAUCAAAGCACUGUUAAACAGCAUACAAUUCCUGUCUUCAAAAAAGUUAUCUCAUCGGGUAGAUGAGACUUAAAAUGAAUAAAAGGAAUGAAUACACAUUGGAGAUAGUGGUUGUUGUGAUAGAUAACCUUAAUUGUGUUUUCUUCCAAAACGGGUGAAUUCACAUAAAAGGGCAUCAGAAAAAUACAAAGACAACCCAUCAAUAUCAGGAGCCUGAGCAUGAGUUAAAGCAUGUGGAUGGCCUAGAGCCAUGUUUUUAAAAUUGUUAUUAAAUAUUGGUUUUUUACUUAAAUCAAUGAAAACUUUCUUUACUUUGUGGUUGUGUUCCUCAAAAUGAGAAUUUUUAACAAUAAUAAAAAUAAAGCUUAUUAGAUCAUUUUUAAUGGUAAUAAAUUGGUUACUGAAGAUUUGACUAAAGAGAAAACUAGGCCAAUCUAAGUAGAGUCCAAAUGAAGUAGAAAGUCCAUAGAGAACAGGCAAAAAGGAAGUUGUGGAACCACAGACAGUAAAAGGAAAAAAUUGGCGGGGCGCAAUGGCUCAUACCUGUAAUCCCAGCACUUUGGGAGGCUGAGGUGGGUGGAUCGCUUGAGCCCAGUUCAGGCAACAUGACAAAACCCCCACCUCUACAAAAAAAAUAGUCAACAUGACAAAACCCCCAAUGUCUACAAAAAAAUACACAAAACAUAUGAGCCAGGGGUGGUGGUGUGCACUUGUAGUCCUAGCUACUUGGUAGGCUGAGGUGGGAGUAUCGCUUGAACCUGGGAGGUGGAGGUUGCAGUAAGCUGAGGUUGAGCUGUUAUACCCCAACCUGGGUGACAGUUGAAAGAGUGAGACCCUGUCUUUAAAAAAAAAAAAAAAAGGAAGAAAGCAAAGAAAAAAAAAUUUAUUUUUGUGACAAGUUCUCUUUCUGUCUCCCAAGCUGGAGUGCAAUGGCAUAAUCAUAGCCCACUGCAGCCUCAAACUCCUGGGCUCAAGGCAUCCUCCUGCCAUAAAGGCCUCCCAAAGUGUUGGGAUUACAGGCAUAAGCCACUGUGAGGCUAGAUUUUUUUUUUUUUUUUUUUUUUAAGCAAGGUUUGGCUCUGUCACCCAGGCUGGAGUGCAGUGGUGCAAUCUUGGCUCACUGCAACCUCUGCCUCCCAGGCUCAAGUGAUCCUCCUGCCUCAGCUUCUCAAGUAGGUGGAACUACAGGCACGUGCCACCAAGCCUGGCUAAUUUUUGUAUUUUUUGUAAAGAAGGGGUCUUGAUACGUUGCCCAGGCUGGUCUUAAAUUCCUGGGUUACAGUGAUCCACCCACCUCAGCCUCCCAAAGUGCUGGGAUUACAGGUGUGAGUCACCACGACUGGCCAAAAAAAGUUAAGUGUUAAAAUCAAAAAGAAAAUUCACCAAGCCAUUUUGCAUAUUUUUCUGGAAAGAUACAGAUACAUAUAUAUACAUAUAUAUAGAGAGAGAGAGAGAAAGAGAGAGAGAUCUGGACUGGACACCCUAUACUAUCAGUUGGGUACAACUUUGUUUCAGAAAGGACAAAGGGAACUGAUUAGAGUUAAGGCACAUAUAUGUGUGUGUGUGUGUGUGUGUAUUUUCCCAAUUCCUCAUACCACUCCUUUUUAUUAAUUUUUAUUGAGAUAUAAGUUAUACACCAUAAAUUCACCCUUUUAAAUAAGUGCAGAAUUUAGUGGGUUUUAGUAUAGUAUUCACAAGGCUGUACAGCCAUCACCACUAUUUAAUUCCAGAACAUUUUCAUCACCCCAGAAAGAAGCCCCAGAAUCACUGGCCCUGCUCCCCAUUUCCUCUCCUAUUUCCUGGCAAGUAUUUACUUCCUAUGAAUUUGCCCAUUUGGGACAUUUCAUAUAAAUCAUACAAUACAUGAUUUCACUAAAUAAGACUUUUGUGUGUGGCUUCAAACAAUUUUUAAAAAUUGAGGUAAAGUAGGCAUAAUAUAACAUUUACAGUCUAACCACUGCCCCCUCUCCCCACCUAUUUUUUGAGACAGGGUCUCACUCUGUCUUCCUGGCUGGAGUGCAGUGGUGUGAUCAUGACUCACUGCAACCUCAGCCUCCCCGGGGCUCAGGUGAUCCUCCCACCUCAGUCUCGCAAGUAACUGGCACCACAGGCACACACCACCAAACCUGGCCAAUUUUUGCAUUGUAGAGACAGGAUUUCGCUAUGUUGCCCAGGCUGGUCUUGAACUCCUGGACUCAAGUGAUCCUCCCACCUCAGCCUCCCAAAGUGCUGGUAUUACCGGCAUGAGCUACCACACCUGGCUGUCUCUAACCAGUUUUAAGUGUACAAUUCAGUAGUGUUAAGUAUAUUCACACUGUUGUAAAACAAAUUUCCAGAACUUUUUCAUCUUCCCAAAUUGAAACUCUGUACCUAUUAAACACUAAUUCCCCAUUCUCUCCUCCCAGCCCAUGGUAACCACCCUUCUACUUUCUGUCUUUAUGAAUCUGACCACUCUAAGUACCUCAUAUGAGAGGAAUCACACAGUAUUUGUCCUUUGGUGACUGGCUUAUUUCACUUAGCAUAAUGCCCUCAAGGGUUCUCCAUGUUGUAACAUGCGUCAGAAAUUCAUUCAAGGCUGAAUAAUAUAUCCGUUAUAUAGAUCAAUCACAUUUGAGUUAUCCAUUCAUCAGUUAAUGCACAUGUAGGUUAUUUCCACCUUUUGGUCAUUGAGAAUAAUGCUGCUGUAUACAUACGUGUAUGCGUUUCUGCAUGACUAUUUGUUUGCAAUUCUUUUGACUAUGUAUGUCUCGGCUCACUGCAACCUCCGCUUCCCGGGUUCAAGCGAUUCUCCUGCCUCAGCCUCUCGAGUAGCUGGGAUUAGAGGCACCUGCCACCACACCCGGCUAAUCUUUGUAUUAUUAGUAGAGACGGGGUUUCACCAUGUUGGCCAGGCUGGUCUCAAACUCCUGACCUCAGGUGAUCCACCCACCUCAGCCUCCCAAAGUGCUGGGAUUAGAAGUAUGAGCCACCACACCUGGCCAUGAAUUUGGUCCAGUGUCUGAACUUCACCUCUAGAGUCCCUUCCAGCCUCCUACCUCACUCCCACCUUGGCCUCCUGAGUAGCUGGGACAACAGGCUUGCGCCACCAUUAACCAGCUCAUUAAAAAAAAGUUUUUUUCUUUGUAAAUAUGGGGUCUCCCCAUGUUUCCCAGACUCCAAACCUAUUUCCUAACCUUUAUCAUUAUCUGCUUCUGUGGGAUGUGAAUGGAAGCGAGGUGUGCUACAUUCAGGCUUUUAACACCUCCCACCUGCACCUUCUAAUUCUUCCUUUGCAUCUUCUGGCUGGACAAAGAGGGUCUUGUGGGGCCUCUGAGUCACUGGAAGAAGGUGAAGCCACAAUAUAGCUGGAGUCUGGUUCCCAGGUGCAGCAGUGUGAUGUGAGUGAGAAAGUAGCCUUUAGUGCAUUAAGCCACUGGGAUCUACAGGUUGCUCGUAGAUCAACCACGUCUACAGACGUGGGGGCACCACCAUGCUCAGCUAAUUUGUUAUAUGUUUAUGUAGAGAUGGGGUCUUGCUAUGUUGCCCAGGCUGGUCUCAAACUUCUGGGCUUAUGUGAUCCUCCCAUCUCAGCCUCCCAAGUAGCUGGGACUGCAGGCUCAUGCUACCAUACCCAGCUAAUUUUUAAUAUUUUUUUCUGUAGAGAUGGAGUCUUGCUAUAUUGCCCAGGCCAGUCUCGAACUCUUGGGCUCAAGCAAUCCUCCCGUCUCAGCCUCCCAAAGUGCUGGGAUUAUAGGUGCGAGCCACCACGCCCAACCAGUUGCUUAAUUCUUACAACAGCCCUCGGAGGUAGGUUCCAUUGUUAGCCCCAAUCUUAUUUAUUUAGAUGGAGUCUCACUCUGUUGUCCAGGCUGGAGUGCAGUGGCAUGAUCCCAGCUCACUGCAACCUUCGCCUCCUGGGUUCAAGUGAUUCUCUUGCCUCUGCCUCCUGAGUAGCUGGGAUAACAGGCACAGGCCACCAUGACUGGCUCAUUUUUUUUUUUUUUUUUUUGUAUUUUUAGUAAAGACAGGGUUUCAUCACGUUGGCCAGGUUGAUUUUGAAUUCCUGACCUCAAAUGAUCUGCCCACCUCGGCCUCCCAUAGCCCCAAUCUUUAAAUGAGGAAAUUGAGGUGCAGAGAGGGUCGGCCACUUGCCAAAUGGGAAAAGCUAGAAUUCUAACCCAGACCAUUUGCCUUCAAAACCUACCCUGACCACCACAGUAACCUGUGAUAAGGUGCAACACCAGCCCCCGAGCUUUGAGCCUUGCCUCGUCCUCCCUGUAUAUUAAGGAGUGCUCAGAUGUGGCUGUAGCUGCACCUCUUUCUCCAAGAUGGAGCCCACCCAGAGAUGCUGUGUGCAAAAGGCUUGACUCAUAGCCGGCGCAUAAUAUGCCUUCAAUAAAUGUUUGAAAUUAUUAUUCUCGAUGGUGUCACGGUGCUGGCUGAAAGGCAGCAUAGCUCAGCAGUUAAGCCAGACGGUCCGGGUUCAAAUCCCAUCUCUACCAUGUAAUAGCUGUGUGACCUUGGGUAAGUUACUCAACCUCUCUGUUCCCCCAUCUAUAAAAUGGGGGAAAUGACACUAUCUAUUUUAUAGAGCUAUUGCAAGGAUUAGCAUAGAAAAUGCCUCAACCGUGCCUGCCACUGAUGUCAGGUUUUAUUAUUGCUGUAACACUUUCCCCUAUUCAGAGUUUCAUCUCCUAGAUCCCCGGGCACGGCAACAGCUGGCUUUCAGAUCAGGGCCUCCCUGGGAGGUUUUAGUCUCAGCACAAGUCACCUGCCUUCCCCCUCUCUGGCUCCCAGCAGCCCCAUCCUUCCCCCAGUCUUGGCCCGGGUUCCAGCACCGUCUCCUCCCCUCCCCUUUGCCCCUCAGCCCCAGGGUGACCAAAGCCUCUGCCUCGUGGGACGGCUUUCUAGCACUUUCCUCCUUUUAAGAGAUUGACUGCAAUUUCUAUAGUAACAUCACAUUAGCCAGAAAUUAAUGUCCUCAUUAAGAUAGCAAUUAGGCACAUUAGCGUGGCAAUAAAAGAGAAGCUUAUGAAAUAACUGCUGGUUCCAAAAUGCCUUUUAAUUUAGUAUUUUAUAUUGUGCCAUGUUAUUAAUUUUUUUCCCUCGGCAGAAGAUAAUAAGAGAAAUGUUUGAAUUGUGGGGAGGUUUAAAAUAAAAAAAAUUUUUGAGAAGGAAAGCAAUGUUGAUACCUGUAGACAGACGAUCUGUCUUCUCCCCAAAACCCCAUUGGUCCUGAGUCCAUAGGGUGACUCCAUGGGGUGUCAGAAGAGGGACAGCAUUGAUGGGUAGGGGGCCAGGCCAUGUCCUGGGACUUUUGGCCAGGCUUGGCAUCCAGCGGAGAUUGGAGUGGAACAGCCUUUGAUCCUAGAAGCAGGAGAAAUGGUGCCAUGUUUCUUUGCCCUAAACAACGAAUACCUGUUGGUUUGGGAUUUUCCCCCAAUAGGCUCCAUCUCCUGAAUUCAAAUUCUUUCAGCAAAUGUUUCCUUGGUACCCUGUGGCUCUGACUCUGCUGUUGAGGGCUUUCCAGAUUGUUGGAGACGACAGAUGUAUAAAUGGGAAAAUGCCAUGAUAAACUGGGAAUGCAGUAUUUUGCAACUUGUAAUGAAAUCAUGGCUCUAGGCCGGGCACCGCGGCUCACGCCUGUAAUCCCAGAACUUUGGGAGGGCAAGGUGGGAGGAUCGCUUGAGGCCAGGAGUUCGAGAUCAGUCUGGGAAACAUAAUGAGACCCCCCCGCAACCCCGUCUCUUAAAGAAAAAGAAAAGAAAGAAAGAAAUCAUGGAUCUAGGACAUGAUUAGCCAUGGAUAGUAAAAUCAUUAGGGGAAAGGUGGAUGAGGAAUGGUUUUGUGUGGCCAGGCACAGUGGCUCACACCUGUAAUUCCAGCACUUUGGGAGGCUCAGGCAGGCGGAUCACCCGAGGUCAAGAGUUCGAGACUAGCCUGGCCAACAUGGUGAAACCCCAUCUCUACUAAAAAUACAAAAAUUAGCCCGCUGUGGUGGCAGGUGCCUGUAAUUCCAACUACUCGAGAGGCUGAGGCAGGAGAAUUGCUGGAACCUGGGAGGCAGGGGUUGCAGUGAGUCAAGAUCGCGCCACUGCACUCCAGCCUGGGUGACAGAACAAGACUCUGUCUCAAAAAAAAAAAAAAAAAAAGAAAAAAAAGAAAAGAAAAAAAAGAAAAGGAAAAAAAGGAAUGUUUUAGGGGAGGCCUGUUCUGCUCCCAUCUGAGCCCUGGGUCAAAUUUAGCGUCCUAGGCUGGACAUGAUGUGGCUCCCAUUGGGAGCAGUAGUAGUAGGUUGGUGAGGGCCUGGAAGGAGACGUAUCUCCCUGAGUUAAGGAGGGCACCUCAAAGGAUCAGGCACAUGAACAGAGACCUGAAGGAGGAAAAGCGGAGGAUACACAUAGAGAUCUGGGGGAAGAAGGUUCCAGACAGGAGGAACAGCGGGUGCCAAGACUCUGGGGUGGGAACUAGCAUGGAGAAGUAGAGAUCAGCUAGGAGGCUGAUGUGGCUGGACGGAAGUGAGAGAGAGAGGAGAGGAGGUGCAAUGAGAGAUAUACCAAGGAAAGAAAACAUGGGGCGCUGGGCACGGUGGCUCACGCUUGUAAUCCCAGCACUUUGGGAGGCCAAGGCGGGCGGAUCACCCGAGGUCAGGAGUUAGAGACCAGCCCGGCCAACACGGUGGAACACCGUCUCUAUUAAAAAUACAAAAAUUAGUGGGUCAUGGUGGUACAUGUAAUCCCAGCUACUCGGGAGGCUGAGGCAGGAGAAACGCUUGAGCCUGGGAGGCAGAGGCUGCAGUGAGCCGAGAUCGCGCCACUGCAAUCCAGCCUGGGCAACAAAGCGAGACUCCGUCUCAAAAAAAAAAAAAAAGAAAGAAAAAAGAAAGAAAGAAAGAAAAAGGAAAAAUGGGGAAUUUCAUUGGAAGGCCAUGCCAAAACACAAACAAAAAAGAAACAAAUAAAGGAAAAAUGGGGAAGGAUUCCUCAGGAAGUUAAAGAGUUGACAAUCAAUUUCAGGGACCCCGGGAUUUGAGUCUAGCUCCUUCGUGGGCAAGGGGACGUGCUGACCAAUGCACACCUGUGCCUGCCAGGCUCCUUGUCAGUUACCUGUUGCCAGUUAAGCUGUCUAACAAAGGCCAGGCACAGUGGCUCAUGCCUGUAAUCCCAGCACUUUGAGAGGCCAGGCAGGUGGAUCACUUGAGGCCACAAGUUUGAGACCAACCUGGCCAACAUGGCAAAACCUCGUCUCUACUAAAAAUACAAAAAUUAGUCAGUCGUGGUGGCGGGUGUCUGUAAUCCCACCUACUCGGGAGGCCGAGGCAGGAGAAUCGCUUGAACCCGGGAGGGAGGCAGAGGUUGCAGUGAGCCAAGAUUGCACCACUGCAUUCCAGCCUGGGCCACAAAGUGAGACUGAGACAAAAAAAAAAAAAAAAAAAAAAAAAAAGCUGCCUAACAACGCCCAAAUCCAGCAGCUUAGGACAAUCAGCAUUAAUUUUGGCUUCGCAGGCUACAGGGCAGUUUUUCUGCUCCUGGCUGGGCUCACCCACCAGCGUCUAUGGGUCCAAGAGUCACACUGUAUUUAUUCAGGCUGGGUCUUUUCGUAUAUUUGGGCCCGGCUGGCUAUAGGCUGGUCUAGGACAACAGGAUUCUUCCCUCAUCCUCCAGCAGGCUAGCUCGGGCUUGGUCACCUGACAGGGGCAGGGUUUCCAGACGUCGACCAGAAAGAUGCACCACCUCUUCAGGCCUAGAUUGGGAAGUGACUUCACUUCUGCUGCAAUCCAUUGAUUGGCCAAAGGAGAUCACGAGACCAACCCAGAUUCAAGGGGUGUGGAAGUAGGCUCCACCUCCCAGUGGGAGGAGCUACCUAGGCAAAGAGUAUAGAUGGUGGGCGGUAGAAUUGGGUCCGUGAAGCCAACUUGACCAGCCCCAUGAUUCCUUUGGGGCUUUUGAUAAUCAUUCCCUGCCCCUCCCUGGGUACCCCAAGGCAUUCUAUGGUCCUCGACCCUAGCUUUGGCCCCUGUAGAAGUUCUUUUUUUUUGAGACGGAGUCUCGCUUUGUCACCCAGGCUGGAGUGCAGUGGCGCGAUCUCGGCUCACUGCAAGCUCCUCCUCCCGGGUUCACGCCAUUCUCCUGCCUCAGUCUCCCGAACACCUGGGACUACAGGCGCCCGCCACCAAGCCCGGCUAAUUUUUUGUAUUUUUAGUAGAGACGGGGUUUCACUGCGUUAGCCAGGAUGGUCUCGAUCUCCUGUCCUCGUGAUCCGCCCGUCUCGGUCUCCCAAAGUGCUGGAUUACAGGCAUGAGCCACCGCGCCCGGCCCUCUGUAGAAGUUCUUUCUGCCCAGGUUUGCUCUCUCUCUAAGCUCCCACAGGAGCUGUGGCUUGGGUUGUUCAAGGCCCCAAAUUCCCGACUGGACUUCCUUUCUUCAGCUCUGCAUUGGGGUGUGACCAGGACUGAAGUAUUUUAUUGAAAUCAUUGGCUCUCCUGAUAGCAAACAGAGAGUUGGUGUCAGUAAGGCAGAGGAGAGUUUAGUCUGUAGUGUGCUAUGGAGUAAGGGAGCAAUGGAAAUCGGGAGCUUAGUUUGAACACACUCAGUGUCCCCUUGUGCAGUGUCCAACCUGCCCAACCGUACCAGCCCACCCUGAUUGAGGGACUAAAGAGUGGAGGAAAGGAAGGGGAAAGGGAUUUCACUGACAGCUGGAGCCUUAGCCCUCGGGCCAAAUGAAGGACCUUCCCAGAACAGAGUGACCCAGAAGGAAGCUGUGGCCCAACCACCAAGAUGGGUAACCCUGACAGGCACAACCUGCCCUCUUGUCAAUCAAGGCUGGACCACGUGGUGUGGGGAAGGGGUGAAGGACUAAGAGAGGGGGCAAAGAGGAGGGUAGGAAGGUCCUGGCCUAAACGACCCAGUUAGUUUCCCCAUCACCCCCUACCCCCAUCCUGUAUCCCAGGGAAGUAUAGUGCAGCUGGGUUCUUGGUUGCCAUGGCGACUGACAAAAAAAAAGACUUGAGGGGAGGAAAACACCCCGGGGCAUGAAGAAGCAAUUUGCUCUCAGGUCUGGGAGUCAGCACCGGAAUCAGAAUGUCCUAAGAAGGAAAGAAAACUGAGCGAGCCGGGCUUGGGUAGGUGGCAAACCUUCCCAAGGCCCCCUGCCAGCCAUCCUAAGAGAGAGAGGGUAGGGGCGACCCCAGCUCUGUGUGGGAGGCGCCAACUCUAAGCCCCCACCCCCGAGGCUGCCCCUCCCACCCGAAGCGUUUAGCACCCAGGGUCUGGGGUGGGGGGCGAGGCGGGGGCGGGGCUUCCCAACGGAUUGCUUUUUUUUUUUUUUUUUUUUUUUUUUUUUUUUUUCUUAAUUUCCAGUUCCGCCUUGGGACGAGUCCCUGGCUGGGGGAACCGCAUCAGGCCUGACACCCAUCCCAUUCCCCCCUAAACCCAGAACGAGAUCCAACCUCACUCCCCAGCCCCUUCCCGACCUCGCCGCUCAGGCUGUGAUGGGAAGGUCCCUGGGAGUGGGGAGGAGGGCAAAUUUAAACCCGGAGGGGAUCCUGUAGCCCAGUUCUCCUCGGUUCCCUAAACCUCCAGGAAAGCGGAGAAAGUCACAUUGUGGUGGCAGCAGCGGGUUUUUUUUUUAAUCUGUUAAUAAAACGCAAGUGAAUCAAAUCCGCCCUAAGGGAAUUUGGGGGGCGCGGCGAGGCAGAGGCCAUGGUGUUUGCAGAAGUUGGAAAUUUAAUAAGAAGGAAAAAUAAAAAUAGCCACUGUGCUGGAGAGAGAGAGAGAGAGAAGGUUGGGAGAAGCAGGCAAGUGUGGGACUCCUAGCUGGGUGGAAACGUGCAGAGGGGGCUGGGGAAGGCGAGGGCACCACUAGUCCGGAGGAGCAAGGGAGACACUGCUGGGGAUACCAGGAGGGGAGUCUUUGGGGUGUCACCAGAACAGUCCAGUUCCUUGGCAGAUUUUUCACCAGCAGUGAGCUGGGCACAGAGGUUGGGGUUUGGCCCUCUAAACACCUGGGUGUAGAGGUCCAGCCUCUGGUUACUUGGUCUUCACAGCGCCCCCCACCUUCUGAGCUACUCAAGAGAUGGGGGACAGUAGCAGUACUGCCAAGAACAGUUGUGCAAGUUGCGCACUGCACAAGCAUGCCAGACAGAGGCUAGAGCAGAAGCUAACAUCAUCUGUUCCCCUCACCACACAUUGCAUCUGCCCAGAGGAAGAGGUACCUUUUAUUUAUUUUAUUUUAUUUUAUUUAUUUUAUUUUUUGAGAUGGAGUCUCACUGUUAUUGCCUGGGCUGGAGUGCAAUGGCACGAUCUCAGCUCACUGAAACCUCUGCCUCCCAGGUUCCAGCAAUUCUCCUGCCUCAGCCUCCCGAGUAGCUGAGAUUACAGGCGCCCACCACCACGCCCAGCUAAUUUUUGUAUUUUUAAUAGAGACGAGGUUUCACCAUGUUGGCCAGGCUGGUCUCGAACUCCUGACCUCAGGUGAGCUGCCCACCUCAGCCUCCCAAAGUGUGGGAUUACAGGCAUGAGCCACGGCACCCAGCAAGGAAGGGGUACCUUUUAAAGAUCUACACAAGGCCGGGCGCCAUGACUCAUGCCUGUAAUCCCAGCACUUUGGGAGGCCAAGACGGAAGGAUCGCCCAGGACCUGAAGACCAGCCUAAGCAGCAUAGGGAGACCACCAUCUCUACAAUAAAUAAAUAAUGAGAAAAUAAACAUCCUGGCCGGGCGUUGUGGCUCACGCCUGUAAUCCCACUGCUUUGAGAGGCCUAGGCAGGCAGAUUGCUUGAGCUCAGGAGUUCAAGACCAGCUUGGGCAACAUGGUGAAUCCCUGUCUCUAUGAAAAAUACAAAAAUUACCCAGGCAUGGUGGCGCACAACUGUGGUCCCAGCUACUCAGGGGGCUGAGGUGGGAGGAUCGCUGGAGUGGAGGCUGCAGUGAGCUGUGAUCACGCCACUGCACACCAGCCUGUGUGACAGAGUGAGAUCCAGCCUCAAAAAAAAAGAGAAAAGUCCACACAAAGUUGACAGUGAACCAGCUGCAUCUCUGAACACAUCCAGUGAUACCCCCUCCACCCCGCUCCAGGAAACCCAAGAUUGCUGACAGGCCCAGCUACAGCAGCUUUGAGCUGGCUGCAGCCUGUGGGGUCCUCUGGGAGCAGCUGAAUGGAAUUUGUUCAUGCUUUCACUCAACAAGUAUUUACUGGGUGUUUAUUUCAUGCCAGGUGCCGUGCUGGGCAGUGAAUGAAUGAACCUUGCCCUGGGGUUAACACUCCAGUGGGAUGAACAGACAAACCCCACAAGCACUGCAUACGGCAGAAAAUGAACCAUUAUUAAAACAACACGGCAACCGGCCGGGAAAACCCAUUCACAGCGAUUUAUAUCGCGUCGCCGCGGCUGCCGAAAGGAAAUGGGAGGAGAAGCUCGAGGUUUAAGCGCUGGGUGAAAAAUCACAUUCCAUCAGAGGAAGAACAGAUGGGUGUUUUUUUCCUCCCCUUUCUCCCCCUUGCUUGGGCUCGGAGUCAGGAAUCUAUGUCAGCCGUGGGUUUGUUCUUGGUGUGAUAGGGUGAUUCUGGGGAGACAGAGGCCCAGCCAGGCUGCUGGGUCCCAGGGAGCAAGGGGUGGCUUGUGAGCCACUGAGGACCCCCGCUCCGCAUCCUCCAUCCUCCUCCCCACCGGCUCUGUCUCCUGGGCCUGUAGGCUGCCGAUCUGAGCCCCAUCCCCCAUCCUGCUAUUUUAAUUUUUACAUUUUCUCAUCACCCCCUGGAAUUACCGUCUCUCCUUAUUUCCUUCCUCCUUCACAGUCUUUUUCCUUGAAGGCAGGGCCAUGUCUGUCCUGUUCGUCGUUGCAUCCUUAGUGCAUUGAACACAUAGCAGUGGCUCCCAUAUCUGCAGACAACCACUAACCCUCUGCCACAUUCCCACCAUCACGCCUGCCAUCCUAUCCUAACCUUACUAAGGACACCUUCCCCCACUCGCCGGCGGGCUGUGAGCGCGCUGGAAGACGGGGGCUGUUUAGUUUGUUUCCUUCAUGGAUGGAUCUACUGUCCCUCCACCCCCAAAGAAAGCCUGAUUCACAGCUUUCUGGGUGUUGGGAUUGGGGGAUGGGGACAGACAGGCAUGACUGAGUCAUUCAGCUGUUUAAAAGCUAUCACUGACUUCUUCAAAAUUGAAAAAUGUUAUCGUGGCUCCAACCUAGACCCAAAACACCUGUUCAGUUUAAACCACCCCACCCCCGCCCCGCGCCUGCC
rnacentral:lncRNA from 1 species